GUAUUUUGAAUGAGUUUCCCAUCCAUGCCUCCAUGUUGCGCAGUGCUUGUUGUCCUCAGGAGGGUUGUGGGUGAGCUGGAGCCGAUCCCAACUGACUUUGGACAAGAGUCGGGUUACACCCUGAACUGGUCGCCAGCCAAUUGCAGGCGCUUGAAUCUUUUUGGGAUGAUUUCUGCUCUCAAGUCCUUCUUGCAAAAGUCAAAAGGGAGACGAGGGGCAGGGCUGCAGGACGGACGUGUGACGCAUGGCCGGUUAUUAAUUACAAGACUCGGGCGCCGCCACUUUGGAGUGGUCCAGCUGGAGCUCUCUUUAGCCUCCGGAGAAUCCGGCGCUACCUGCCAGAAGUGAAUGUGGAGCAGGCUGCAUGAGCUUCACAAUCACUUCCUCUCAUAGAGAGAAAAAAAAAAGUGAUGCAGUAAUGAUCUGCCUGUGCUGGGUACUUUUCCCUCCUUCCCAGCCGUCAGGCCUGGCCUUUUGUGACAGACUGCAGAGGCUACCUCUCUCUCCCUCAGCUCAUUCAGUACCUCACCCUGCCCUGGUGCUGGACAUCAAAUGACCAGCUCACCCCCCUGAGGAGCUCUCAAGUUUCUUCAUUUCAGCAGCCGCCUGGCUCCCCCCUGGUCAGCAGCCGGCCACGCUGCAUGGGAAAGAGGGACGGACAUCUGCCCGUCUGAGUGUAAGGGACAGGCUGGCUCACCGUCCGUCUGUCAGCGCCGCAUGCCCGUGCGCUCCCUGCACUCCCUGCACUCCCCUCCUUGUUAUUCUGGGGAGGACGCGGGGAUGUGAUGUGUGGCAUUGUUUGUGCCAUACUGGUCAGAGGAGAUGGGGGAUGGGUGGCCGGCUGACUGGACUGAGGCUAAUGCACUGGACGCUGCGACAGAGCAUAACACCGCUGGACCGUGACGCUUCUCGGCACACAUUAGCAGGGAAAAUAGUACCUGCCUGGACAGUAUUCGCUGUAUGGACUGCGUCUCCAUAGCAUAGGCCGGUGGUGCCAUACACUGCUUAGAAUGCAAUUUCAUAUACUCGUAAAAUAAAAAUAAUUU